rnacentral:sRNA from 1 species
GAAAAAUUUCAGAAAAUGAUUUCACAAAAACAGUGUUCAUGUAGUUGCAUUGCAUUUAGGAUCGAGUCUAGAGUGUUUCAUUUAGGAUUGUUACAUAUGCAUAGGAGAUAAUGAUGAGAUAGCCUUAUAAGCAUUUUGGUUCACCAGAUAAACUCAGUGCCCUCGUUGUUAGUUGUCUGAUGCGUAGUCAAUGAAAUCGAAGUAAAACAGCACCAUGCCUACAUUGCUCUACUCGACCAUACUGUUAGGAUCUGAUACCAUUCCCUAUCAAUUUGAACUUGAAUCUGAUUUAGAAUUAUCAUGUCUUGGCAUCGAAUUAGAACUCAUGGAUACCCUAAAAUACUUGGAUUUUCUUACUCAUUUUAACCACUCUUGUUAGUCCAAGUGGCUCACUCUCCUUUUUAGAGCA